rnacentral:ribozyme from 13 species
UUUUUCUUCUUCAGUUGUUUAUUUUUUUCUCUUUCCUUUAUCUCUCUUUCUGGUUGUCUGGUUGCUUUGACAACAUGGAGACAGUA